rnacentral:lncRNA from 1 species
GUAAAGCUGCAUGCAAAUAUUGCAUAGCUCCAAGAUGCAAUAGAAAGAGUGGUGCGCAUCAAUAAUGUUCGAGCGACAAGCUAAAGUUGCUUGGUCGUAGCCUCGGUGAGACCGUAUUGCGUGUGAACAUGGGGCACAGGACACUUCAACUUACAUCCCGAUAAACUUCUUUAAAAAUGGGUAGUGAGCCCGUAGAAGUAUAAGUAGCAUAAGCAGUAGAUAAUAGUGUAACACGUGACCAGUGUGUUAACACUUCAACCAACACCAUAAAGCAUAAAAAGGUGUCCGCAAGUUGGUUGUAUCUAUCUACAUAGUUUGAUGUAAGAAUAGAAUGUUCACUUUUGUGUUAUUUAGCGUAGGAGGGUCUCACUCCUUAUUUAGCUAAAGAAUAGGCUUUCUAAACGAGCAAUGAGCAUUGCAGAGGGCCAAUGCGACAUCGAGGAAAGGCCGGUGCACCUCAAUUGCUUGAGGAAUUGACCGGACGACCUCCAGGAAGUUGGAGUCGUGUUCGGGUGACCUCAAUGUCCCCCGGGUCACCACCAUGCUUCAUGGUGAUGCUAGAUCUCGAAUGUCUUCGUUUUGAGCGGAAGAAUGGAUGUCCAUGAGAUUUUCUCAAAAUUUGGACCAUUAUAUCUCUUCCAGGUUGACCAAUUUGGUCAAACCAAAGCCUAUAUGAGUCGGUGUCCCAAAUAUCAUGUAUGGCGACAACAUGGGAUUCGAUAUUCGAAUCGUAGUGACAUACAGUUCACUAGAUUAACUCAUGAAUUUCUCCAAGAUGCGCUUCAGUCCGCAUUCAUGAGAAGGUAUACACAAAAAAAUUCUUGUUCAUUCUCACAAUGUGUUUUCAAAUGAAAACCAUUAGCAUGAAUGUCUUUAAAGCUCAACAUGGUUCCUUAGAAUGUUGUGGAUAGUUCCACUAUCUGCGAAGCACUCAAUGUCUCUAUGAGACAUAACUACAAGGAGUAGAUAGGCGAGUAAAUAGUUCUACUUGAACCAUUUAGAAGGAUUGAAAGAAGCUACGAAAAGCUGCAAUCCUGAGAGUGCAUAAAAGUUUCCGCGCAGAAUGACCUUUGCGCACUAAAACAGCCAUAACUUCUUCGUUAAAAUAGAUAUGGACGAACCGUGAAAAGUUCUGAAAACUAGACUCGUAGAGCUUUCCAAUGAUAUAAAGCUCACUGUCUGGUUCGUCCGGAGCUGUUCAAAAAGCUCAAACGAAGUUGACUGUCCAUAAGGGACAGAUUGCUGUUUUUCGCAGAUUUGGCAUGUGCGAAGCUGUGAAGCUUGCAGGUGGCGUGUAGGCUUUUGUCUUAGCCAAAAGUGACGUGUGUAUGAUCAAAACCAAGUCCUUUCGGUCGUUCUAAG